rnacentral:rRNA from 1 species
UGGGGAAUAUUGGACAAUGGGCGAAAGCCUGAUCCAGCAAUACCGCGUGUGUGAAGAAGGCCUUCGGGUUGUAAAGCACUUUAAGUUGGGAAGAAAAAACUUCACCUAAUACGUGAAGUCUUGACGGUACCGACAGAAUAAGCACCGGCUAACUCUGUGCCAGCAGCCGCGGUAAUACAGAGGGUGCUAGCGUUAAUCGGAUUUACUGGGCGUAAAGCGUGCGUAGGUGGUUUGAUAAGUCGGUUGUGAAAGCCCCGGGCUCAACCUGGGAAUUGCGGCCGAUACUGUCAGACUCGAAAACGGUAGAGGGAGGUGGAACUCCAGGUGUAGCGGUGAAAUGCGUAGAUAUCUGGAAGAACAUCGAUGGCGAAGGCAGCCUCCUGGGCCUGUUUUGACACUGAGGCACGAAAGCGUGGGUAGCAAACA